rnacentral:rRNA from 1 species
GGUUCGAUUAUGGCUCAGAUUGAACGCUGGCGGGAUGCUUUACACAUGCAAGUCGGAGCAGCAGCACGGACUUCGGUCUGGUGGCGAGUGGCGAACAGGUGAGUAAUGUAUCGGAACGUGCCUAGUAGCGGGGGGAUAACUACGCGAAAGCGUAGCUAAUACCGCUAUACGCCCUUCGGGGAAAGCGGGGGACCUUCGGGCCUCGCACUAAUGGGAAGCGGCCGAUAUCGGAUUAGCUAGUUGGUGCAGGUAACGGCUCACCAAGGCGACGAUCCGUAGCUGGUUUGAGGACGACCAGCCACACUGGGACUACAGACACGGCCCAGGAACUCUACGGGAGAGCCUUGAUGGGAAUUUUGGACAAUGGGGGAAACCCUGAUCCAGCCAUCCCGCGUGUGCGAUGAAGGCCUUCGGGUUGUAAAGCACUUUUUGGCAGGAAAGAAACGGCACGGGAUAAUACCCCGUGCAACGGCGGUACCUGCAGAAUAAGCACCGGCUAACUACGUGCCAGCAGCCGCGGUAAUACGUAGGGUGCAAGCGUUAAUCGGAAUUACUGGGCGUAAAGCGUGCGCAGGCGGUUCGGAAGAAGAUGUGAAAUCCCAGAGCUUAACUUUGGAACUGCAUUUUUAACUACCGAGCUAGAGUGUCAGAGGGAGGUGGAGAUUCCGUGUAGCAGUGAAAUGCGUAGAUAUGCGGAGGAACACCGAUGGCGAAGGCAGCCUCCUGGAAUGCUACUGACGCUCAUGCACGAAAGCGUGGGAGCAAACAGGAUUAGAUACCUGGUAGUCCACGCCCUAAACGAUGUCAACUAGCUGUUGGGGCCUUCGGGCCUUGGUAGCGCAGCUAACGCGUGAAGUUGACCGCCUGGGAAGUACAGUCGCAAGAUUAAAACUCAAAGGAAUUGACGGGGACCCGCACAAGCGGUGGAUGAUGUGGAUUAAUUCGAUGCAACGCGAAAAACCUUACCUACCCUUGACAUGUCUGGAAUCCCGAAGAGAUUUGGGAGUGCUCGCAAGAGAACCGGAACACAGGUGCUGCAUGGCUGUCGUCAGCUCGUGUCGUGAGAUGUUGGGUUAAGUCCGCAACAGGCGCAACCCUUGUCAUUAGUUGCUACGAGGGCACUCUAAUGAGACUGCCGGUGACAAACCGGAGGAAGGUGGGGAUGACGUCAAGUCCUCAUGGCCCUUAUGGGUAGGGCUUCACACGUCAUACAAUGGUCCGGGACAGAGGGUCGCCAACCCGCGAGGGUAAUCCCAGAAACCCGAUCGUGAGGUCCGGAUCGCAGUCUGCAACUCGACUGCGUGAAGUCGGAAUCGCUAGUAAUCGCGGAUCAGCAUGUCGCGGUGAAUACGUUCCCGGGUCUUGUACACACCGCCCGUCACACCAUGGGAGUGGGUUUUACCCAGAAGUAGUUAGCCUAACCGUAAGGAGGGCGAUUACCACGGUAGGAUUCAUGACUGGGGUGAAGUCGUAACAAGGUAG